AUUGAACGCUGGCGGCAUGCCUUACACAUGCAAGUCGAACGGCAGCACGGGUGCUUGCACCUGGUGGCGAGUGGCGAACGGGUGAGUAAUACAUCGGAACGUACCUUAUCGUGGGGGAUAACGCAGCGAAAGCUGUGCUAAUACCGCAUACGCCCUGAGGGGGAAAGCGGGGGAUCGAAAGACCUCGCGCGAUUAGAGCGGCCGAUGCCUGAUUAGCUUGUUGGUGGGGUAAAAGCCCACCAAGGCGACGAUCAGUAGCUGGUCUGAGAGGACGGUCGGCAACACGGGGACUGAGACGCGGACCAGACUCCUACGGGAGGCAGCAGUGGGGGAUGUUGGACAAUGGGGGCAACCCUGAUCCAGCAAUGCCGCGUGAGUGAAGAAGGCCUUCGGGUUGUAAAGCUCUUUUGUCAGGGAAGAAACACCGGCUCUAACACAGUCCGGGAAUGACGGUACCUGAAGAAUAAGCACCGGCUAACUACGUGCCAGCAGCCGCAGUAA
rnacentral:rRNA from 1 species